rnacentral:rRNA from 1 species
GACGAACGCUGGCGGCGUGCCUAAUACAUGCAAGUAGAACGCUGAAGGAGGAGCUUGCUUCUCCGGAUGAGUUGCGAACGGGUGAGUAACGCGUAGGUAACCUGCCUGGUAGCGGGGGAUAACUAUUGGAAACGAUAGCUAAUACCGCAUAACAGUAGAUAUCGCAUGAUAUCUGCUUGAAAGGUGCAAUUGCAUCACUACCAGAUGGACCUGCGUUGUAUUAGCUAGUUGGUGAGGUAACGGCUCACCAAGGCGACGAUACAUAGCCGACCUGAGAGGGUGAUCGGCCACACUGGGACUGAGACACGGCCCAGACUCCUACGGGAGGCAGCAGAAGGGAAUCUUCGGCAAUGGACGGAAGUCGGACCGAGCAACGCCGCGUGAGUGAAGAAGGUUUUCGGAUCGUAAAGCUCUGUUGUAAGGGAAGAACGAGUGUGAGAGUGGAAAGUUAAAACGGUGACGGUAUCGUACCAGAAAGGGACGGCUAACUACGU